rnacentral:rRNA from 1 species
CUUGGUCAUUUAGAGGAAGUAAAAGUCGUAACAAGGUUUCCGUAGGUGAACCUGCGGAAGGAUCAUUACCUAGAGUUGUAGGCUUUGCCUGCUAUCUCUUACCCAUGUCUUUUGAGUACCUUACGUUUCCUCGGUGGGUUCGCCCACCGAUUGGACAAAUUUAAACCCUUUGCAGUUGAAAUCAGCGUCUGAAAAAACUUAAUAGUUACAACUUUCAACAACGGAUCUCUUGGUUCUGGCAUCGAUGAAGAACGCAGCGAAAUGCGAUAAGUAGUGUGAAUUGCAGAAUUCAGUGAAUCAUCGAAUCUUUGAACGCACAUUGCGCCCCUUGGUAUUCCAUGGGGCAUGCCUGUUCGAGCGUCAUUUGUACCUUCAAGCUCUGCUUGGUGUUGGGUGUUUGUCUCCUGUAGACUCGCCUUAAAACAAUUGGCAGCCGGCGUAUUGAUUUCGGAGCGCAGUACAUCUCGCGCUUUGCACUCAUAACGACGACAUCCAAAAGUACAUUUUUACACUCUUGACCUCGGAUCAGGUAGGGAUACCCGCUGAACUUAAGCAUA